UACGUAGGGGGCAAGCGUUGUCCGGAUUUAUUGGGCGUAAAGAGCGUGUAGGCGGCUUUGCAAGUCCGUUGUGAAAACUCGAGGCUCAACCUCGAGACGCCGGUGGAAACUGCAAAGCUAGAGUCCGGAAGAGGAGAGUGGAAUUCCUGGUGUAGCGGUGAAAUGCGCAGAUAUCAGGAAGAACACCAGUGGCGAAGGCGGCUCUCUGGGACGGUACUGACGCUGAGACGCGAAAGCGUGGGGAGCGAACAGG
rnacentral:rRNA from 1 species